CCAAUGAUCACCCUUAUGUUUUGCACAGCUUCCGGCACCAUUUUCCACGCCCCGUCCUGACAUAAUCUCAAGUUUAUCAGAGCUCAGUCUGAUCCACCAAGGCAAGGGAGGGGAAAUCUAUCUUCCUCUUGAAGGCAAUAUGUCUGCAAGGUGGAAGAGUUUUAGGUCUGUUACCUGCGCAACUUGCCCCAGCACAUAAUUUAAAUUACUCUGCAUGUGCAGUGUUUACUGUAGAAAUGUGGCACAUAUAAACGCCAACCACCAUGACCACUUCAAAUCAAUGAACUGGUCAUGGUGGUUGGAGCAGCCAUUUAAAACCGGGAACAAAGAGAACGCAUAGUCAAGAAAUAUGUAACAUGCCGGCUAUACUAAAGACCAGGAAAUUUGAACACAAGAGCUG